rnacentral:rRNA from 1 species
GGUCUUGACAUCCUUCUGACCGGCCUAGAGAUAGGCUUUCUCUUCGGAGCAGAAGUGACAGGUGGUGCAUGGUUGUCGUCAGCUCGUGUCGUGAGAUGUUGGGUUAAGUCCCGCACAAGGCCGGCGAGCAUGUGGUUUAAUUCGAAGCAACGCGAAGAACCUUACCAGGUCUUGACAUCCUUCUGACCGGCCUAGAGAUAGGCUUUCUCUUCGGAGCAGAAGUGACAGGUGGUGCAUGGUUGUCGUCAGCUCGUGUCGUGAGAUGUUGGGUUAAGUCCCGCAACGAGCGCAACCCCUAUUGUUAGUUGCCAUCAUUAAGUUGGGCACUCUAGCGAGACUGCCGGUAAUAAACCGGAGGAAGGUGGGGAUGACGUCAAAUCAUCAUGCCCCUUAUGACCUGGGCUACACACGUGCUACAAUGGUUGGUACAACGAGUCGCAAGCCGGUGACGGCAAGCUAAUCUCUUAAAGCCAAUCUCAGUUCGGAUUGUAGGCUG